UUUUUAUUGAACAUUAACUUUCACGUGUCACGAUUUUAUUGGAGGUUAAUGUUAAUUAGGUGUAUGAAAUUAACUUCUAAUAAACAUGCGACUAGUGACAAUUAACGUCCAAUAAAAAUGCGACAUGUGAUAGUCAACGUUG
rnacentral:pre_miRNA from 1 species